UUUUGUAAAUACCUGUGACCUAGUGUCGUGAGUGCUUAGCAACACCUGACACACACUAAGCUCUCAAUAAGUGGUAGCUUUAGUAUUACCAUUAUAUCCCAAUUAGUACAAGCACCUUACCUUAAUGCUUUCAUGGUUGUUCUAGGCCAGUGGUUCUGAAAGUGGUUCUAGACCAGCAACAGCAGCAGUAGCAGCAGCACCUGUGAACUUGUUAGAAAUGCAAAGUUUCAGGCCCAUUCCAGUUCUACUGAAUCUGAAACUCGAAGGGAACAGCAACCUAUGUUUUAAUAAACCCCAAGAACUAUGGCUCCUUAACUCAGAAGGGCCCUUUUUUCUCAAAACAACCUCUGCAAGAUGUAACCUUGACUUCCCAGGAAAAUGAAAGGUAGUUAACAAUUUCCCCCAUCACCUAUGUAACUCCCUAAAUAAAUAAAAAUUACAGGCAGUUGCUCCUGGAGAUUACA
rnacentral:antisense_RNA from 1 species